rnacentral:rRNA from 1 species
GAUGAACGCUGGCGGCGUGCCUAAUACAUGCAAGUCGAGCGAACGGACGAGAAGCUUGCUUCUCUGAUGUUAGCGGCGGACGGGUGAGUAACACGUGGAUAACCUACCUAUAAGACUGGGAUAACUUCGGGAAACCGGAGCUAAUACCGGAUAAUAUUUUGAACCGCAUGGUUCAAAAGUGAAAGACGGUCUUUCUGUCACUUAUAGAUGGAUCCGCGCUGCAUUAGCUAGUUGGUAAGGUAACGGCUUACCAAGGCAACGAUGCAUAGCCGACCUGAGAGGGUGAUCGGCCACACUAGAACUGAGACACGGUCCAGACUCCUACGGGAGGCAGCAGUAGGGAAUCUUCCGCAAUGGGCGAAAGCCUGACGGAGCAACGCCGCGUGAGUGAUGAAGGUCUUCGGAUCGUAAAACUCUGUUAUUAGGGAAGAACAUAUGUGUAAGUACCUGUGCACAUCUUGACGGUACCUAAUCAGAAAGCCACGGCUAACUACGUG